rnacentral:lncRNA from 1 species
GUGGGAACUGCUGAGUCAUGGCCUGAACCACUGAUUGAGCUCCUGGAGGAAAGACUCAGUCAACCCUGGGAGCACAGGUGAAGGCAGUUCACUUGUGCCUCCGGAAACGGGUGGAGCCAGGCACAGACACAGAAUCAGGAUCAGAAUCUUCUGAUAUGACCUGUCUGCCCUUGAAUUUACACAUCCACUGUCGGAAUGUGCUACAGAAAAGCCUCAAUGGAUUUCUAGCGCCAGUGCUUUCCUGCAAGUGGCAUGUGAGGACAGGUGAGAAGAUAACACAGUGCUGCAAGCAUUGACGGAUCCUCUGAUGACAGGACAGAUUGGUCAUGCUACAGAGCUAGGAAGAUCCAAAAGAAGAAAGUAGAAUGGA